AUUGAACGCUGGCGGCAUGCCUUACACAUGCAAGUCGAACGGUAACAGGUCUUCGGAUUCUGGCGAGUGGCGAACGGGUGAGUAAUACAUCGGAACGUGCCCGAUCGUGGGGGAUAACGUGGCGAAAGCUUUGCUAAUACCGCAUACGAUCUACGGAUGAGAGCGGGGGAUCUUCGGACCUCGCGCGGACGGAGCGGCCGAUGGCAGAUUAGGUAGUUGGUGGGAUAAAAGCUUACCAAGCCGACGAUCUGUAGCUGGUCUGAGAGGAUGAUCAGCCACACUGGAACUGAGACACGGCCCAGACUCCUACGGGAGGCAGCAGUGGGGAAUUUUGGACAAAGGGCGAAAGCCUGAUCCAGCCAUGCCGCGUGCAGGAUGAAGGCCUUCGGGUUGUAAACUGCUUUUGUACGGAACGAAAAGCCUCUUUCUAAUAAAGAGGGGUCAUGACGGUACCGUAAGAAUAAGCACCGGCUAACUACGUG
rnacentral:rRNA from 1 species